rnacentral:ncRNA from 1 species
AUAAAAGCAAUGACAAAGAGGAGUAAAAAUUUUUAGGCAUUAAAGGAUACUCAUUCAGGAAAUCUGAGGAGUACAGUUCUUUUAGGUAAAUCAUAGAUUUAGAAAGAACCAAUAAGAGAGAGGGGAUAGCUGAAAACCCUUAUGCAGGAAAUUUUGAAGGUAGCUUUUGAGCUUCUUUAGUGAAAUAGUAGUAGCUAAAGACGGUUUAUCUGAAUCGUUAUUUAAAUUAAGAGUCCAUUAGAGCAUAUUAUUGUUUGCGUGGAAAUAAAGGUGGUACCGCGAGUCUUCGUCCUUUUG